CCUCUGCAUCAUCCCAAGUACUGGAAUUAAAGGUAUGCAUCAUCACCACCCAGAGAGACACACCAUUUUAUGUUGUAGCUUUUAGUCAAUUCCCUGCUUUUGCACUAAUUUUUCCAACAUGACUUCUAGAUUCUCCUACACUUUUUUAAGGGGUCUUAAAAAUUCAGGUUGCGCCCAACGCUUACUUUUGACAUAGAAGAGUAGCAUGGUGACUCUUUCUGGAUUUGGAAGUACAUAGGAAACACAUCUGCAAGAGGAUGGUUGAGGGCUUCCAGAGAGGUUUAACUGAAGAGGGGAGCACCGUCCUUAACGAGUGAAGCACCAACUCAUAAACUGGAGUCCUGUAAUGAAUAGUGAGUUCGAGGCCAGCCUGCUAUACAAAAUGAGUUCCAGGACAGCCAGGACUGUUACCCAGAGAAACUCUGUCUUGAAAAACAAACAAGAAAGGGGCCCGGGGAGCCAUCUGAGCAUUCCUCUCUCUGCCUCCUGACUGUGGACACAGGCCACCAGGUACCUCCAGCUCCUGUUGCCUCCAGCAAAAGCCGAUCUUGAUCUGUCAAGCCAACAAUCUUGAUCUGUCGCCAGGCCUUUCCUACCGUGCAGCUCUCUUCCCUCCAGAUGAAUGAAGAUAAAGCCUUCCAUCCCUAAAUCGGUUUGCCGGGUAUUUUGUCCUGAAAGCAGCUAAUGCAGAGGUGUAGUAAGCCGCCCUGGUGAAUUCUUCCCUCUAACGCGUCAGGUAAGCCCGCUGUCAUUUCGGUCUCCAUUCUCACGUUUAUCACUGAAGGACAGUGAGAGAUGCCGGUAAAUACCCUAACUGGAAAAUGGUUCUUGCCAUUUCCCUUUCACGCCCCUAAGAACUUGCGGAAAGAGCGGAGCAAGCUUUCUCAGUUUACCCGCGAUGCCCUGUAGUUCUCAAACUCUGCCAGAAGAUGGCGGUAGGAACCAACGACAAAAUCCUUUUGCUCGUCUCCUCAGCUUCUCAUUGUCCGGUGGACACUUCCUGCAUCUAAUCUGAUGCUUAUGAAAACUAUUUCCUCCUUUCAAAAGCACAAGCCCAAACAGAAACUAACCUCGCCCUGCAGAUCGAGGAUGUUUGUGCCGUUCCAACUGUCGAACCCUCCCAGCUACGGCUUUAACUGUCAAGUAUUUUCCCAGCAGCUACAUGUCCGUUCCAGGAAGCAAAGUGAGAAAAGACUGUGGACUUCCUCUGGGCUGGUGGGAAGGAAGGAAGCAGCUGGAGCACCCGAGGGCCUUGGCUUUGGGAUUUGGAAAAGCAGUUGAAGCUCUGGAAACUCCAUUUCCUCGUUUCCUUGCGUGUUAAUUAGAGAUGGCAGUCCUGACUGGCAAACUGUCGGGAGGCAGAGCAGACUGGCCACCAAAUGAUGUUCAAGCCAGAUAGUUAGAAGACAGAUAAUUGUACUGGUAAUUUUUGAAGAUCAGACUUAGAAAAAAAAUUGUCAGUAACAAUACAAAGAAUCCCUAUAUACCUUUUACAGGAUCUCCGAACAUUAAGUUACAACAAAAGCAUGCUGCAAUGACCAAAAUCAGAAAAUAACCGUCUAGGGCUCUUAUAUUACCUAACCCUCAGCCCUCAUUCAAAUGUUACUAAGUGUCCUUUCUGGCUCAGGGUGAAACAAUGAAUCUAUUGUCUGGAUCUCUCCAGUCCUCUUGAACUUGAAGUUGCUGGGUCCUUUUUGCUCAUGACCUUGACACUCCUGAAGACUUUUGUAAACUGUGUUGUAGUUCAGGUGUAUCUGAUGCUUCCUCUUGAUCAAAUGCAAGUCAGGCUACUUUGUGUGGAAUCCAACAGGGGUGAGGCUCCAGCACAUAACAUCCAAAGGCUCUUGCUGUUGACUUAUGCAUUAUAGGAUGGUGCCCAGAAGGUCCUCAGCCAUAAUGUUACAGACUGUGUAAGUACCCUGAUCCUCAGCAUACCUCUGCCCUCUCAUAUUAGCACAUUUAUAGUCUCCACCUGAAAUAGCUAUUGCCAUGGUAUUUACCAAAUGCCAUAGAGAUUUGUACCUGAAAAAUACAUUCUAUUGAUUUUGGGAUGCAGUUAUCUGGAGAGGGGUGUGUGUGUGUGUGUGUGUGUGUGUGUGUGUGUGUGUGUGUGUGUGUAGGCUUUGCAUAGGCUAGACAAGUGGGCUGUCACCAAGCUACAUCCCCAGACUUUCUGAUUUCUUUAUAAUGUAAGUGGAGAAUAUUGGGCCUCCCAGACUCUCGCUUCCAUUUUGUGCUUUUAUUAUUUUACAAAAUGUUUUAUUUCGUGUUUUAAUAGGUCUUGUAGGAAACUGAGAGAUUAUCCAAAUUAUAGUGCCGAUUUGAAAACUCAUUGGACACUAAUUUAAGCCCUAAGUCUAUUCCAUCACCACUAAUACUAGCACACACACACACACAGAGAGAGAGAGAGAGAGAGAAACACUCAUGUGCACAUAUGCACACACCACACAGACACAUCAAUGCACCCAUGCACAGAAGCAGCAUCCCUCCCCUAACCCAGAAUCUGUCCCCCAUCCUACACACCUUUGCUAAAACUCGCUGUCUUACUAAGACUACUUUGCUUCAGCCAAGAAUUACUGAGAGACCCUUUUCUCUCUGCAUGAAAGAAAAUGCAUCAGAGAACCCCUGGGGUUCAGCUUCUCAAAUUCAGCUCCUGGGGGUGGCCUGGCCAAUUCCAGGCUCCCCCUGAGCAAGCCUUUCCUUUUAUUGUAAUGAGAGAAAGGUCACCUGCUGGCUUGGAUAAGCAUCCCUAAGGAGUGUUGGCUUCCUUGGCACCAGGAGCCACAGGUUUAAGGGAAGGAUGAAACAACAUUUCAACUGGCGGGUAGAAAGGGGGCCCUGCCCAGGUCAGGAGGAAGGUGGGAACUCACAUAAUGAAAAGCCGCUGGUGAUAGACACCAAUUUCACACCUAUUACCCAGGGGAAUGACCUCAAACCAGUCCCGGGUGUCAUUUGCAAGUGAAUUAGGUGUGCCACUUAGCAAGCCGUGCAGAGGGGUGGCCUGGCUCCUACCCUGAAGUCUCAUGGGAACUUGUACGAUUUUCCAAAUCCAAGUCAGAGUGUGUCUGCCUUUACCUAACCCUGUUCCUAAUGCCUUCACAGGCUCCGUGAAGCUGGAACAGACCAGGUGCACCCACUGUGUGAAACCUCCAAAGUUCUAAAAGGCCCAGGCAUCCAGGUGCAAACCAGAUUCCUUUCAUAACACAUGUGCAGGUCCGGCCUUAUGCACCUUGCACUCUAAAGUAGGUGUGGAAUGUGUGUUCUUAGAACGAUGAGACUCAGGGUAGGUGUGUUCCCAGGACCCCUUCAAGAGCCAGGGGAAAGAGUCCCUGUGCUAGCAGGAAAGUUUUGUACAUUUGGGGAAACUGAGCCUCAUCCAGAGUGGCUAAACAACUAACUGAUGGGGAAGAGACGGAAGAUACAAAGAAGCCCCAUCUAACGCCAAGGAUAACGGAUGCUGUGUAAAGGGUCCUGGUGUGUAUCCACGGUACACAGUGCUGGCUUUCACGGGGAUGUCACCAUAAAAGUAUGUUCUGUACCUUGGCCAUGUCCCUGUGUACCACUGUCUUCCUCCACUUCUCCACUCCUUUCUACCGCUGCCCCCCUUCCUGACCCAGCCAGCUUUGCUUCUACUUCAUGUAAUAUAUGCGUUCACGAUUGUGUCUAGUGCUAUAAAGUCUGUCUUUCUGAGCAUAA